ensembl:lncRNA
CUAGAUUGUUGCAAUACCAAGGACUCCUAUUGGAGCAGCCGCACAUCAAGUUUGUCACCACUGCUAGCCUCAACCAGGCUACCUUACUCCCAGAGUCCAAUGAACAGAUACCCAUCCAUGAUCUAAAAGCUGGAAACAAUGCAUGGUGGACAUGUACAAAUGGUAUAACUCCUUGUUUGUCCAUGACAGUCCUCAAUCAGGAACUUGAGGUAUGUGUAAUGGUCCACAUUUUACCCCAAGUCACUAUAUAUGGAGAAGACCAGGGUUGGGAAUACCUAGCUAAGACAGCAUGCACCCGAGAGAAGUGCCACCCAGCAUUGAUUCCUGUGUUAAUUGCAGCAGGCAUUGCGGGAUCAGUGGCUCUGGGAGCGACUGCAAUAGGACUGCAAGACUUCAACUUCAAGACCCUUGCCCAACAGGCCAAAUAUCAUCCUUUAAGUGAGCUAGAUGAGGAAGAGCAAAGACGGAGACAAGAAUACCAAGGGCCCCAACUUGUCUCCUUCUGUUAUGGAUCACCAGGGGGACAUCGAGUUCCAGGAAUGUAUUUGUUGUUGUGCCAGGAAGGUCUAUUGAGUGUGCAGUGUUCUGUCAUGCUUACCCAAUUCCAUAACAGAACAUGUUAUCUUAAGAACAAUUUGUAAAAAUUCCCUCCUUCAGCACUUUGCUUUUGUAUUUCUGCUUGCCAACUUCCCCCUAGCAUCUCCUAUAAAAGGACCUCAGGCUCUGAGCCUCUCACCUCUCUAAGCUUGGUGCUUGGGGGGUGCCGUCUGGCC